GCGCACGGGUGAGUAUCGCGUAUACAAUCUGCCUCAUACUAGGGAAUAGCCCGAAGAAAUUUGGAUUAAUGCCCUAUAGUAUCUUUUUAAGGCAUCUUAUUAAGAUUAAAGGUUACGGUAUGAGAUGAGUAUGCGUUCUAUUAGCUAGUAGGUGUGGUAACGGCACACCUAGGCUACGAUAGAUAGGGGCCCUGAGAGGGGGAUCCCCCACACUGGUACUGAGACACGGACCAGACUCCUACGGGAGGCAGCAGUAAGGAAUAUUGGUCAAUGGACGAAAGUCUGAACCAGCCAUGCCGCGUGCAGGAUGACUGCCCUAUGGGUUGUAAACUGCUUUUAUAUAGGAAGAAAAACUUUCUCGUGAGAAAGCUUGACGGUACUAUAAGAAUAAGGAUCGG
rnacentral:rRNA from 1 species